CCCUUAGAUGUUCUGGGCCGCACGCGCGCUACACUGGUGCGUUCAACAAGUUUACAACCUUGAUUGACAAGUCUGGGUAAUCUUUUGAAUGCGCACCGUGCUAGGGAUAGAUUAUUGCAAUUAUUAAUCUUGAACGAGGAAUUCCUAGUAAACGCAAGUCAUCAGCUUGCAUUGAUUACGUCCCUGCCCUUUGUACACACCGCCCGUCGCACCUACCGAUUGAAUGGUCCGGUGAAAUCUCGGGACGGCGGCUUGGUCGCUUGCGUCCGACUGCUGAAACUUGAUUAAACCAUAUCAUUUAGAGGAAGGUGAAGUCGUANCA
rnacentral:rRNA from 1 species